GUGGGGAUCGGACGCACGGAUUUGCUCCCCUAUCCUCAGCACCCCCCCCACCCAGCACCAGGUGGGUGUGAGCUGGGGUCCCGGCAGCACAGGAGGGAACCGUGCUAACGGGGAACCUGUGCCUCCCACAUCCUCACCUGGCUGAGCCGCAGUAGUUCUUCAGUGGCAAGCUUUAUGUCCUGACCCAGCUAAAGCUGCCAGUUGAAGAACUGUUGCCCUCUGCCCCUGGCUUCGAGGAGGAGGAGGAAGAGGAAGAAGAGGAGAAGGAGCUGCUUUCUCCCUCCUCUGGAAGCCUUGGGUACAUGGCUCUGCCAUCCUCACCCCUCAUGGAGCAGAAAUGAGGAAGAACAGCCUGGAAAGACAGAGGCAGACAGAAGACCAGUGAAAGACCAGGCCUGGAGAGCACAGGGCCCUGUCUGACAUCCUGCAGAGGGGGCCCGUAGAGGCCAGGAGCACCCCCAGGAGGAGGGAGGACAAGCCACCCUCCAUCGAGGACAAGCUUCCAGCCGUCUACUUCGUUCUCCAUUGCUCUCCAGUCUUUCUGCCUCCACAUCAGAGAUGUGGGACCAUGUUGAAGUGUCCUUGACUUCAUCCUCCCGCUUCCACCUCUCCUCACCGUGUAAUUUGUCUUUAAGCACCCUUGAGGAGCAAGAGCCAGCUGUGAAAGGACAUAUGCAGAAAAUUCAUAAAAGAAAUUCCAAUAGAUAAAACCAUGGGAAAAGGUGUGCUUUAUUAGUAAUUAAAGAAAGGCAGCUAUAGCUGGAAGCAUUUUUUCCUGUAGCAAACUAUAAGAGAAAAAAUAAGACCCAGUUGUUGACAAAGAAGUACUAAAAUGACACUCUCGUACAUUGCACAUGGGUAUACAAGUGGGUAGUCUUACUGAUGUCAGUUGGGUAAUGUGUGCCGAACGUCCUAAAAGUAUCAUGGCCUUUGAUCUAGUAAUUCUACAUGUGGGAAUGUAUCCUAAGAAUAUAAUUAAAGAUUAGUUAUAAGAUGAUCAUCCCAGCAAUGCAAUAGGAAAAAUUGAGAACCAACUGUCCGGCUGGGAAUUCAUUUCUUUUUCAGCUGUAAUGAAAAUUUGCAAGAAGAGGUUGCUUGAGUAAAUUAUUAUGUAUCCACCCAGAUGGUGGAACACUGCGCAGCCAUUAAAAGUCAUGUAGGAGAGCAUUUGACUGGAAAGAAAAAUGCUCUCUGAAUAUUAAAAAGGUUAUAAAAUGAUAUGUAUUAUGUGAUCUCAAUUUUGCUCUUUUAAAUAUGGGCGUAUACUUACAAGACAGUUUUAAAAAGACUGCAGACA